UACGUAGGGGGCAAGCGUUGUCCGGAAUGACUGGGCGUAAAGGGCGUGUAGGCGGUCGAGUAAGUUGGGAGUGAAACUCCUGUUUUCAAGGCAGGAACUGCUCUCAAAACUGCUUGACUUGAGUGCGGAAGAGGUAAGUGGAAUUCCCAGUGUAGCGGUGAAAUGCGUAGAGAUUGGGAGGAACACCAGUGGCGAAGGCGACUUACUGGGCCGUAACUGACGCUGAGGCGCGAAAGCGUGGGGAGCAAAC
rnacentral:rRNA from 1 species